GACGAACCGUGCGAACGUUAUUCGGAAUCACUGGGCUUAAAGCGCGUGUAGGCGGUCCGGCACGUCGAUGGUUGAAAGCCCCCGGCUCAACCGGGGAAUGGGCCUCGAUACGACCGGACUGGAGGGAGGUAGGGUGAUCUGGAACUUCCGGUGGAGCGGUGAAAUGCGUUUAGAUCGGAAGGAACGCCCGUUGUGAAAGCGCGGUCCUGGACCGGACCUGACGCUGAGACGCUAAAGCUAGGGGAGCAAACGGG
rnacentral:rRNA from 1 species